UGUUGGGGAUCGGCCUCUUCCUUCGGGGUGAGGCCUUCCCGAAACUCAUGGGCGCCGCCUUCCGGCUCCGAGCGUAGCAAGCGAAAGCCCUCGCUUCGGAUCGUUUGGUCGGUGGUCGCCGGUAAACUUCUGGGAUGGGAAACCUCCCGAAAUUAUCACAGUUUAGCCUCGGAUCAGGUGGGGAUACCCGCUGAACUUAA
rnacentral:misc_RNA from 1 species